GCCUACGGGGGGCAGCAGUGGGGAAUAUUGCGCAAUGGGCGAAAGCCUGACGCAGCGACGCCGCGUGAGGGAUGAAGGUCUUCUGAUCGUAGACCUCCGUCAGCAGGGAAGAACGGUCACUGUGCUAAUCAGCAGUGAAUUGACGGUACCUGCAAAGGAAGCACCGGCUAACUCCGUGCCAGCAGCCGCGGUAAUACGGAGGGUGCGAGCGUUAAUCGGAAUUACUGGGCGUAAAGCGCUCGUAGGCGGUAUGUCAAGUCAAGGGUGAACUCCCCGCGCCCAACGUGGGAACUGCCUUUGAAACU
rnacentral:rRNA from 1 species